AACCCAAGUUCACAUUCAGACUCCAUAAGGCCAUUUUGUCUUCACAAUAUACAAGAAAUGAUUCUAAAAAUCUAGAACUACUCACCACCAGUGUGGAACUUGAUGGCAGAAUCUGGAAAGAUCGGCAACCCUUGCACUCCAGUAAGAAACGCCAGCCAGACUGGAGAAAUUAGGAGCCAGCUCACCUGGCUACUAGCUUGAGCAGGCUAAAUAAGCAACAGCUGGUAGAGAGUAAGGGAGCAGCCAGCAGCUUUGGAAAAGCUAGCCAGAAGGUUGAGCAGGAGAGCUGGCACAAGAAGUCAGACACUGGGAGCAGAUUUGCACUGGAUAGGGUCUUACUCCAAGGCUUCACCCAGUUAGAAUACAAGAGAAUUGUCUCAGUUUGGAGAAAAAAGAAAUACCUGAGAGGGACAGCUAAUACCCCAGAGGACAGGAUCACAAUCCAAAAUGAAAUGGACAGUAAACCAGCAUUCCCAAAUAAAAGAGAUGUAACAUUCACUCAAAUGCAUUUGCGGCUAAGAACUAGAGAAAGGAAUCAGCAGUAGCCAAGGGUGAGAGUGGAGGGGACAGCAGACAUGAAGACACGACCACCCAAAUAAGAAUUCUUCCCAAUGCCAAAAAAUGUUCAUCUAGAACCAAAGGUAACUUAUAUCUUCAGCUGAACAUUUGGAAAUAUAGGCAUCCAAAAGGGAGAAACACAGCAAGUGAAUGCAAACACAGCAAGUAAAAGAAUUGUAAGCAUCAACAAUUUUCAGUGUUUCAUUCUGCAAUGUUAGAAAAUUUGUGGACCAUGGGAAAGCUUUGCUGGUGGAGACAGAAUUUGAAAGGCAAUUACUUCAUUUUGGCCCUCUCCUGUAACCUACACUCUUGACCAUAGCAAUCACUUACACCUGCGUCUUAAAUAUAUGCUAAAUACAGAUAGCUGUAAUUUUGUGGAUUACUAGGUUUUGGAUGGCUGGAAAUACAGUGGGACUGAACAAUUAACAGCAAUGUGCUGGCAUCCAAAUAUAUUUGGCAUUGUAAGACACUGUGAUGCAUUUUGGGGCCCAUGCGAUAUCCAAAACAUAUCAAUCAAAUAAUUAAUUAAACAAGGUCAAUGAAUAAAGGGCUGCAACAGGCCUUG
rnacentral:lncRNA from 11 species